rnacentral:rRNA from 1 species
UACAGAGGCCCCGAGCGUUACCCGGAAUUACUGGGCGUAAAGAGUGCGUAGGUGGUCGUGUUAGUCGUCCGUUAAAUCUCCCGGCUCAACCGGGAAUCCGCGGGCGAAACGGCACGACUCGAGGGAGUGAGAGGCGAAUGGAACUCAUGGUGUAGGGGUGAAAUCCGUUGAUAUCAUGGGGAACACCGAAAGCGAAGGCAAUUCACUGGCACUUUCCUGACACUCAAGCACGAAAGCGUAGGUAGCGAACGGG